rnacentral:rRNA from 1 species
UACGUAGGGGCAAGCGUUGUCCGGAAUCAUUGGGCGUAAAGCGCGCGUAGGCGGCCCGGUAAGUCCGUUGUGAAAGUCAAAGGCUCAACCUUUGAAUGCCGAUGGAUACUGCCGGGCUCGAGUCCGGAAGAGGCGAGUGGAAUUCCUGGUGUAGCGGUGAAAUGCGCAGAUAUCAGGAGGAACACCGGUGGCGAAGGCGGGUCUCUGGGCAGUGAACUGACGCUGAGGAGCGAAAGCGUGGGGAGCGAACAGG